UUCUGGGUCCUUCCUUCAGAUGACAACUCUCCCGCACCAAAAAAUCCCGGUUAGGGCCCGACGAUCCCCGUCAGAACCUUAGCACCUGAUCCCGGGGAGUCACGGAGGCUGGAGGAGGCGGCGGGGAAGAGGGGGGCGAUUUGUCAAGAGCAGCGGCCAAGGGCAUCCCUUCACCUGGGCUACGAGGAAGAUAGAGGGGAAUACCUGCUGCCACCCGGAAAUCAGACCCGUCCCGAGUCUCAUUCAGGGCCCAUGUCCGCCAGCCGGAGGCAGAGGAAGUUGCUGUGCCUGGUGAAGGACUGCAGCGAGCAGAGUCACAGAUACAGCCGACCAUCACGGAAGUGUUUCAGAGGCAGAGAAAAUGCGAGAGCAACUCAAAGGAAGCUAAGAAAUUGGACGGGGCAGUGACUGAAUCCUUCUGUAUAGAUCCAGUCUCCAUCAACGCGGUAAAAACGAAGUGGAUUCCAGCAGAUGUUUUAGCAGUUCAAUCCCAGGUAUUGGCUACCAAGUCGAAAUAAUUUCAUGUAUAUAGAUUCCUAAAAUGUACAAGAGCUCAUAACCUACCACUUCACUGAGAUGCCUUAUUAUUCCUGCAUAAUUCCUGAUUUGUGAGCUCACCUUUACAUCUGUUACUCUAUGGUAUGUUUCCACAUCAUGGGAGCUGUACUCGGUUGGCGUCUGAACAUAGAACACUGGCCUUUGAAGAGAAGAUUGAAGAGGAAUGGAGGUCAGACAUUUCAAGAACGGCAGUGCCUUCAACAGCAAGAAAGCCUUUAAAGAAAACUAAAGCUGGAUCCCAUGUUUUGUGCACAAUCUCCAGCUUACGGUGAACAAAGCUAUCAGCAUUGACAGAGCUUUGUAAAACCAUGUCUACCUUCACAGGAUCAGUGUAGCUUUCAUGUCAGCUGGCCAAAAAGCAGAAGGAACUCUCUACCAAAUAAAUGGUGAAUGCACUUGUUGGAAUUCUCCAUGUGAUAUGAUGGAGCAGCAGUUAUGUGUGUGUGUUGUGCUGUCAGAGGACGGGGAGAAAUGUCACCUAAUGCUGAAGCUUCUGAUAUUACGGUUUGGGGUGUCUGAAGGGGGGUUUACGACUGCUGGGUCAUUUUAGUGAUGCACUAAGUGGUGAGAAAACCACGAGUAUCUUCUCAAUCUUGCCACUGGUGAAGCAGGUGACUCUGCUCUUGGGCAAGAGAUGAAAAACGUGACUGCAGAGUACCUGGAUCAUUGAAAUGAUGAACGGCAGCUACAGAUGCAUCUUGAACACUGCAGCCUACCUCGAUCCGAGGUUAAAAGACAGCUUUGUCUCACGUAAAAGUAAGUCUCCUGGAACGAGUGAAGGUUGUUCCCAGUGACAGAAGUGAAAAGCCCCGUGCCAGAGGAAACCGAAGGCUCGAGUCAGGGUCUAAGACAGACUUCCGAGACAGAUUUCAAACACCUGCUUUGCACGAUACAAGGAGCAAAAGACAAGUACAACAGAUGCUGUCACAUCAGCUCCCGCAGAGCUCUCUCCAAGGGACGAGCUAAAGGGUGAGAUUCAGCUAUACAACAGAAUGUCUGAAAUCAGUACUGUGGAGGAUCCACGUUUUUGUUUUUUUGCCAGAAAGUGUCUGUGUAUUGUAGCAUCCAGCUGGCCGUCUGAGAGCAUAUUCAGCAUUGUGUGCUUUAUUGUGACCCCACAACGGACUGACCGAAGAAAACAUUGAUAUGUUGGUUUUUCUUUCUGUUAACCCCGAACUGGCAAAGAAAAUGUUGACAAUGCAGUGAGGGUUAUUGCAUUCAAGAGUCAGGACACUGAUUACCAAAUAGACUCUACAUGGGAUGCCAGUAACUCAUUAGGGACCCAUGCUAUGAUACAUUAGGGACAAAAGCAUGUCUUUGGACUGCAGGAGGAAGCUCGCGAUGGGGAGGACAUGGGGAGGACAUGG